rnacentral:rRNA from 1 species
AUUGAACGCUGGCGGCAGGCCUAACACAUGCAAGUCGAGCGAGCGGCGGACGGGUGAGUAAUGUAUGGGAAACUGCCUGAUGGAGGGGGAUAACUACUGGAAACAGUAGCUACUACCGCAAACCAUCAGAUGUGCCCAGAUGGGAUUAGCUAGUAGGUGGGGUAAAGGCUAACCUAGGCGACGAUCCCUAUCUGGUCUGAGAGGAUGACCAGCCACACUGGACCUGAGACACGGCCCAGACUCCUACGGGAGGAAGCAGUGGGGAAUAUUGCACAAGGGGCGAAUGCCUGAUGCAGCCAUGCCGCGUGUAUGAAGAAGGCCUUCGGGUGGUAAAGUACUUUCAGCGGGGAGGCGUUACCCGAAGAAGAAGCGCCGGCUAACUCCGUGCCAGCAGCCGCGGGAAUUC